AGCGAAAAUAGCUUAUUUUCAAUGACUUGCUGAAAACUCCCAGAUGUGAGCUGCGAUGGCCGUGUGGUGCACACAUUUGGGCUCUGAGUAUGGAUGUUCUCUCUAAAUAUCCCCCUGCUGCUCAGCAAAUUGAGCAGGGAUCUGAAUCUGUGCGUCCAGGAAAUGUUUUAUACUCAGAAGAAGAGGAAAUGAACCAAAAAUAGGGUGCCACUGAGCAGCAGCUGCCCAGAGCACAGGCGAGCCCUGGUGGCAUUUCCAGCCUGCCUGCCGGCGUAGCAGAGCCAGAAUCAGAAUCGUUCAUCCUGCUCCCUCUUGCUCCCUGGGCUUCUGUCUCACAAUUAGAAAAUCCGUUUGGGGAGCGAAGCAAAAAUCACACUUCACUAACAGCUGCUCUGUGUCGGGAGCAGGAGAGGAGGGAAGCGGGGAUUCCUCCUUUCGCCAUAAAUUGUAUGCAAAUGGGCUCCUUUCUUGGCAGGGAGCAGGGAGUGAGUGCGUCUUUCAUGAGCUAAGCCUGUUCCACUGGGAGGGCUGUUCCUUUAACUCACCAACUGAAAAAGUGG
rnacentral:lncRNA from 1 species